rnacentral:lncRNA from 1 species
ACCGUGAGGGAGGAGCUGGGCCGCACGCGGGCUGCUGGGAGGCAGGCAGGGACUUGGCCCCAGGAGGCCGCCGUGGGGGCAAGAGGAGGCCUGACCUGGGCCUGGGGAGCUUGGCUUGAGGAAGCUGUGGGCCGACCAAGGACGCCAGGAGAUGGGUAGGCACUGAGUCCAAAGAGGUUGUUGAGAGGCAGGAGUCAGGCCUGGAGACGCAGCCAGGAAGAGGAGCUUGGCCCGGAGAGGACGCCUGGAGGGUGCAAGUGGGUCUGGAGAGGCCGACUUGAGGAGGUUCUCAGCCCGGAGAGGCCGCCGGAAGGGAAAAACUGGGACUGGAAAGGCUGUUGUGAGGAAUGAGCCCCAUGGGCCUGAAGAGGCCACUGGCAGGCGGGAGCUGGGUGGUAGAAGCUGCGAAUCNNNNNNNNNNCAAGAGCUGGGCCUGGAGAGGCUGUUCUCCAACCAGUGCUGGGCCUGUAAAGGCCACUGGGAGGCAGGAAGUAGGCCCGAAGAGCUUGGCUGGAGAAAGUUCGGGGCCUAGAAAGGCGGUUGGGAGCUGGGCAGGAGUUGAGCCAAAAGAGCUUGCUUACUUGCUGGGAGGCAGGGCCGGGAGAGGCCGACUUCAGGACAACUUGGGCCUGCAGAGGUCGCUGGGAGGCCCAAGCUUGGGGUGGAGGAGCCCACCGACCGGAGACCAUUUGGGGCCUGCAGAUGCCAUCGGAGGGCAGGAGCUCAUCCUGGAGAAGCCACCGUGAGGCCUGAUCUGGGCCUGGGGAGCUUGGCUUGAGGAAGCUGUGGGCCGACCAAGGCCGCCAGGAGAUGGGUAGGCACUGAGUCUAAAGAGAUUGUUGAGAGGCAGGAGUCAGGCCUGGAGACGCAGCCGGGAGGAAGAGCUGGGCCCAGAGAAGACACCCGGAGGGUGCAAGUGGGUCUGGAGAGGCCGACUUGAGGAGGUUCUGGGCCCGG